rnacentral:rRNA from 1 species
AGAAUCAACGCUGGCGGCGUGCCUAACACAUGCAAGUCGAACGAGAAAGUGGAGCAAUCCAUGAGUAAAGUGGCGAACGGGUGAGUAACACGUGACUAACCUACCCUUGAGUGGGGGAUAACCUAGGGAAACCUGGGCUAAUACCGCAUAAUAUCGAGAGAUCAAAGGAGCAAUUCGCUUAAGGAGGGGGUCGCGGCUGAUUAGCUAGUUGGUGAGGUAAUGGCUCACCAAGGCUAUGAUCAGUAUCCGGCCUGAGAGGGCGCACGGACACACUGGAACUGAAACACGGUCCAGACUCCUACGGGAGGCAGCAGUGGGGAAUUUUGCGCAAUGGGGGAAACCCUGACGCAGCAACGCCGCGUGGAGGAUGAAGUCCCUUGGGACGUAAACUCCUUUCGAUCGGGACGAUAAUGACGGUACCGGAAGAAGAAGCCCGGCUAACUUCGUGCCAGCAGCCGC